GGGGCCGUAGCUUAGUUGGGAGAGCGCCUGCUUUGCAAGCAGGAGGUCAGGGGUUCGAAUCCCCUCGGCUCCACCA
rnacentral:tRNA from 1 species